rnacentral:rRNA from 2 species
GCUUGCUCUUGAUUUAAUUUUGAACGAGUGGCGGACGGGUGAGUAACACGUGGGUAACCUGCCCUUAAGUGGGGGAUAACAUUUGGAAACAGAUGCUAAUACCGCAUAAAUCCAAGAACCGCAUGGUUCUUGGCUGAAAGAUGGCGUAAGCUAUCGCUUUUGGAUGGACCCGCGGCGUAUUAGCUAGUUGGUGAGGUAACGGCUCACCAAGGCAAUGAUACGUAGCCGAACUGAGAGGUUGAUCGGCCACAUUGGGACUGAGACACGGCCCAAACUCCUACGGGAGGCAGCAGUAGGGAAUCUUCCACAAUGGACGCAAGUCUGAUGGAGCAACGCCGCGUGAGUGAAGAAGGCUUUCGGGUCGUAAAACUCUGUUGUUGGAGAAGAAUGGUCGGCAGAGUAACUGUUGUCGGCGUGACGGUAUCCAACCAGAAAGCCACGGCUAACUACGUGCCAGCAGCCGCGGUAAUACGUAGGUGGCAAGCGUUAUCCGGAUUUAUUGGGCGUAAAGCGAGCGCAGGCGGGUUUUUUAAGUCUGAUGUGAAAGCCCUCGGCUUAACCGAGGAAGUGCAUCGGAAACUGGGAAACUUGAGUGCAGAAGAGGACAGUGGAACUCCNUGUGUAGCGGUGAAAUGCGUAGAAUAUAUGGAAGAACACCCAGUGGCCGAAGGCGGCUUGUCUGGUCUGUAACUGACGCUGAGGCUCGAAAGCAUGGGGUAGCGAACAGGAUUAGAAUACCCUGGUAGUCCAUGCCGUAAACGAUNAAAUGCUANGGUGUUGGAGGGUUUCCGCCCUUCAGUGCCGCANCUAACGCAUUAAGCAUUCCCCCCUGGGGAGUACGACGCAGACC